AGCUCCAAUAGCGUAUAUUAAAGUUGUUGCAGUUAAAAAGCUCGUAGUUGGAUCUCAGGUGCAGGCGGGCGGUCCGGCUCGCGCCGGUCACUGCUCGUAUCUCCUGCCCUACCGUCUGCCGGCUCUCUCCCGUGGGUGCUCUUCACUGAGCGUCCCGGGUGGCCGGUGCGUUUACUUUGAAAAAAUUAGAGUGUUCAAAGCAGGCCUCGGAGCCUGAAUAAUGGUGCAUGGAAUAAUGGAAUAGGACCUCGGUUCUAUUUUGUUGGUUUUCGGAACGGAGGUAAUGAUUAACAGGGACAAACGGGGGCAUUCGUAUUGCGGCGUUAGAGGUGAAAUUCUUGGAUCGCCGCAAGACGAGCUACUGCGAAAGCAUUUGUCAAGAAUGUUUUCA
rnacentral:rRNA from 1 species